GCCUCCGUAGCUCAGGUGGAUAGAGCAGCAGUUUCCUAAACUGUUGGCCGGCGGUUCGAGUCCGCCCGGGGGCA
rnacentral:tRNA from 1 species